GACAGAGGGUGCAAACGUUGUUCGGAAUUACUGGGCGUAAAGCGCGUGUAGGCGGCCCUGCAAGUCGGGUGUGAAAUCUCGGAGCUUAACUCCGAAACUGCAUUCGAUACUGCCGUGCUUGAGGACUGGAGAGGAGACUGGAAUUUACGGUGUAGCGGUGAAAUGCGUAGAUAUCGUAAGGAAGACCAGUGGCGAAGGCGGGUCUCUGGACAGUUCCUGACGCUGAGGCACGAAGGUCAGGGGAGCAAACGGG
rnacentral:rRNA from 1 species